GAGACAGGUGCUGCAUGGCUGUCGUCAGCUCGUGCGUGAGGUGUGGGUUAAGUCCGCACGAGCGCAACCCUCGUUCUAUGUUGCCAGCACGUGAGUGGUGGGGAACUCAUAGGAGACUGCCGGGGUCAACUCGGAGGGAAGUGGGGAUGAACGUCAAAUCAUCAUGCCCCUUACGUCUUGGGCUUCACGCAUGCUACAAUGGCCGGUACAGAGGGCUGCGAAACCGUGAGGUGGAGCGAAUCCCUUAAAAGCUGGUCUCAGUUCGGAUUGGGGUCUGCAACUCGACCCCAUGAAGUCGGAGUCGCUAGUAAUCGCAGAUCAGCAACGCUGCGGUGAAUACGUUCCCCGGGCCUU
rnacentral:rRNA from 1 species